GACGAACGCUGGCGGCGUGCUUAACACAUGCAAGUCGAACGGAAAGGCUCCAGCUUGCUGGAGUACUCGAGUGGCGAACGGGUGAGUAACGCGUGGGUAAUCUGCCCUGCACUCUGGGAUAAGCCUGGGAAACUGGGUCUAAUACUGGAUAUGACCUUUCUCCUUAUGGGGUUUGGUGGAAAGUUUUUCGGUGUAGGAUGAGCCCGCGGCCUAUCAGCUUGUUGGUGGGGUGAUGGCCUACCAAGGCGACGACGGGUAGCCGGCCUGAGAGGGUGAUCGGCCACAUUGGGACUGAGAUACGGCCCAGACUCCUACGGGAGGCAGCAGUGGGGAAUAUUGCACAAUGGGCGGAAGCCUGAUGCAGCGACGCCGCGUGAGGGAUGACGGCCUUCGGGUUGUAAACCUCUUUCAGCAGGGACGAAGCGUAAGUGACGGUACCUGCAGAAGAAGCACCGGCUAACUACGUG
rnacentral:rRNA from 1 species